GGACCAAGGAGUCCAGCGAACGAGCGUGACGCAAAGGUUCAUUUUAAUAGAAUCCGUCAAACUCAACGAAAGCAAUUAAGAGGAUGAUUCACGUCAUCCUCUAGUUUGUAUGAUGAGAUGUGUGUAUAUGUUUGUUAGCAAUAAUGAGCAUAUAUCAUAUCUAGGCAAAUCGGAGAUGGCAAUUAUUGCGUUGUUGUAUUGUAAUAUAUAUAAUAACGUUGCCGUACUCGUAGCUCGUGCUCUGGAACCCGAAAGAUGGUGAACUAUGCAUGGAAAGGAUGAAGCCAGGGGAAACUCUGGUGGAGGUCCGCAAUGGUUCUGACGUGCAAAUCGAUCAUCAGAACUAUGUAUAGGGGCGAAAGACCAAUCGAACCAUCUAGUAGCUGGUUCCUUUCGAAGUUUCCCUAAGGAUAGCUGAGGUCUGGUAACGAUAGUCACAUGCGGUAAAGCGAAUGAUUAGAGUCGUUGGGUUCGAAACGUUCUCAACCUAUUCUCAAACUGUUAAUGUGUGUGUUUUCCGUUAGCUAGCGUGCUAUAAUAAAUAUAGUAGCAAACGGAUAGAUAGUGAAGGCCUUCAGUGGGCCAUUUUUGGUAAGCAGAACUGGCGAUGCGGGAUGAACCGGUCGUAAAGUUAUAGUGCCAAAAUCAACGCAUAUCGGACCCCACAAAAGGCGUUAGUAACUAAAGACAGCAGGACGGCGGCCAUGGAAGUCGGC
rnacentral:rRNA from 1 species